rnacentral:ncRNA from 1 species
ACUAAAUGUAGUUGUCAUGGUUCCUUUCAGAUCCCUUGCGGUUCGGAAAGGCUAAGAGGGAAGCCGGUGCCCUUUCGGGGAAUUCCGGCGCUGCCCCCGCAACUGUAAACGGUGAGUUGCUGUCUCUUUCGUGUCACUGGUGCCAAAAGCACCGGGAAGGCCCGACAGCGACGACGAUCCGUGAGCCAGGAGACCUGCCGUGACGUUGCACGAAAC